GAUUUGUUGGGCGUCGAGCGGCGGACGGGUGAGUAAUGCCUAGGAAAUUGCCUUGAUGUGGGGGAUAACCAUUGGAAACGAUGGCUAAUACCGCAUAAUGCCUACGGGCCAAAGAGGGGGAUCUUCGGACCUCUCGCGUCAAGAUAUGCCUAGGUGGGAUUAGCUAGUUGGUGAGGUAAUGGCUCACCAAGGCGACGAUCCCUAGCUGGUCUGAGAGGAUGAUCAGCCACACUGGAACUGAGACACGGUCCAGACUCCUACGGGAGGCAGCAGUGGGGAAUAUUGCACAAUGGGCGAAAGCCUGAUGCAGCCAUGCCGCGUGUAUGAAGAAGGCCUUCGGGUUGUAAAGUACUUUCAGUUGUGAGGAAGGGGGUGACGUUAAUAGCGUUAUCUCUUGACGUUAGCAACAGAAGAAGCACCGGCUAACUCCGUGCCAGCAGCCGCGGUAAUACGGAGGGUGCGAGCGUUAAUCGGAAUUACUGGGGCGUAAAGCGCAUGCAGGUGGUUCAUUAAGUCAGAUGUGAAAGCCCGGGGCUCAACCUCGGAACUGCAUUUGAAACUGGUGAACUAGAGUGCUGUAGAGGGGGUAGAA
rnacentral:rRNA from 1 species